rnacentral:lncRNA from 1 species
UAAGGGAAGAUUAGUGAGUGGAUUCCAUUCAAAAGAGCUUGAUCUAAAUAAUCCCAAACUGAUAAAAUAGCACAUCAGGAUUUUAGUUCUCACUUUACAAAGUUUUAUUUCACAAAUAAAUUUAUAAAUGAUAUCUUUAUCCGGAAACAAACAUUGACAUUUUUGCUUGUAACUCACAUUAUUGGAAGACCAUGGAAAAAUAAAUGCACAGUUAAUAUACUGAAGAGUGCUAUUAAGUGGAAAGCAAUAAAUAUAAAAAGAUUGCAUACCAAAAAUUAUGUAUUAAAUAAAGAAAAUUUGAUUUUCAAAGUUAGAAUGUAUUUUUAAGGAUAUAUAUGCCAUGUUAUAUAAAUAUUUUAUAAUACAAUCACACACUCAACCUUAGAAACUUUGAUUCUCUUAUCAGUGCAACUUCUCUUUAAGUGAAAAUUUAUUUCUGGUUUCACUUUUACCAGCUGAAAAUGUAAUAUUAGUAUAUCCAGACAUGCAUCCACACUUAUUCCAUGCCAAAAGCAAAUUAUGAGAAAUUAAAAACAGCAGGGCAGCAUUCUGUUAUGUGACAUAAAGAAUGACAUUUCUCCUGGGUAUGUUUUUAAAAUAAAAUUUGAUGGAUGCUAAAGAAAUAUUUAGAAGAUUCUACUCGAGUAUAAUUAGAAAGGACUUAGGUGGUGAGUGAACCAGGGCCAGUGAAUGGAAGGGCAGAAUCCUGGUAAACAUUGGUUCAGUCCCACAGUUUCUAACACAGGGCUCAUGGAUCAACUUAUGUUGAAAUGUUUCACAUAUGGCAGACACAUACACGUCUGUAAUGUUUGUCGUUACAGGAUGACUUUGAUUUUGUAAUACAGUUUAUACAUAGCCAGGCUCUUGAGAACACUCAAAAUCUGUGCUAAUCAAAGCUUAGGUGGUUGCUUGAGCUGGAGCUAAACAUAAUCCUUAAAAAGGGGCUCCCUACACUGUGCUCCGCUUUUCCUCUUAGCCUCUUCCCCUCAACGAAAUGGUAGGAGUUCAGCUGACAACAGGGUAAACAGAUUAUUGUGUUAUUGCUGGCUGAUUGCCGGAGUUAUUUUGGAGCUUCAUAAUUCAUUUAAAGAGAUUUUUGACAUUUAUGAAAUGACUUCUAUAAUCAACUGACAGUGCAAUAUCCUAUAAUUGUUCAAUUAAAAAUGACUACUAGUGCAGUCAUUUAUUAGUAGAAUCAGAUAAUUGUCUUGCCACUAAAGAGUACUUCUCACUUUGCACAUCAAAUGAAAAUGUUUGAGUCUAAAUCUGUGACACAGCAGCCAAAGUCCUGGGGAUUUUCAAGUGCAUAUGUAAUUAUUACAGACCUCUGAAGUAAAUAUGGUUUAAUGUGAUAAUCUUAAAUGGAUUGUGUGUGAGCCUUACAAAAUACUUUUCUGUAUAAACCAGAGCAUCUGUCAGAAUGGAUAGGAGUUCAUUUCUAACCAUUAUGAAGUUCAUGAUAUUCUUUCCAACAUGUAGUUUAACAUGUGUAGUUAGAACACAGGACAGCAUGCCUUUCCCUUGAUUCUCAUUUAUCUUUUUUUCCCCCUUGCAGAUGAAACUGAUUACCAAGGUAAGGAGCCAGGAAUGAUUGCAUUGAUAAAUCAGUUUCAUAUGGAAUACUACCCUACUGGGGUCAGCACUCAGAAGCUCUGACUUCCAGAUACGUACACAGAUAGAAUGCAGAUCCACAAAAACAGAAACACUUUCAUACACAUGCGUGUGCAUGCACACACACACGCGCACAUAAAGCACAAAUUUCAAAUGCUGGAUUUCUCUGAAAUAAAACACUUUGACUCACAUUAUCACAAACCAUCUGUUAAGCUAAAUCAUAAAUCAGUCUUUGAUUAAAUAAUUAAAAAAAGAAACCCUUACCACACUGAACACAGAGAAGGCACAGAUCAUUUAAAUACCAAUAUAAAGAAAUAACUAAAUGGAGGAAACAGCAGCAGUCCCCUUACAGAUAAUGAUUUAUUUUUAUUUUAAAUUAGCAUUGUGCUUCUUUGGACAAACUGGCUAAAACUCAAAAUUUACAUUCAAAUAAUGAUAAUUAAGGAAAUUCAGAGCAGGCUCAACAGAUGGAACAUGUUACUUAAUUUGAGGUUGCUACAAAAUAGAAUUUAGUGGUGUCAUUUCAAAGUUGCAGCUUAAUUUUAAUUUUUAAAUAAAUAAUCUGAUUUAGUUGUUUUUUCUUUUUCCAUUUUGUUUGCAGGAAAAUGUUGAAAAAUUGCUGUCAGAUUCAAUCGCUAUCUCCCUCUUUCUUUCUAACCCAUCAGCAAGAAUAGGGCAUUUGAAUCACAGCUGCUCAGGGCUUUUUGUUUUUGUUUCUCUUCAAAAAAAUUUUUUUCAAGCCCGUUUUUCUUCUUCUUGUAUGGAUUUUAGAAAGAGUUUUGAUAAAGACAGUCCUGGCAGCUGGAUGAUAAAUAUUAUUUUCUUAACCUGCCUAGCUUUGUCAGCCACCUGCGACUGCAGCCUGCCACACGUUGGAAGCAGCUCAUUAACUUUCCCACAGCUUCCCAGGAGUUUUCCUUGUUUGCUUUCACCUUGGGUGUGUGCUGCCUUCUCACUGAACGGUUAACUAUCCGAGUAGGCCGAGUGGGCUUUGGCACCGCGAGCAGAGCACGCUUCAGGCAGCCUCCCUGCUAAGGCUCAAAAUCUCUCUUAAACACAUUAAGCAGCCCAUUUUGGAUUGAUAGUGCAGUAAUUAUUCUGCUUCACCCUAAAAACCAUCCUGGGGUAAUUGGCGCAGAGGAAAAUUACCCAGAGUCCUCCACCACCUGGUAGUUAAGGAACGAAUCCAGGGAAAGAUAAGUGAAGCAGGAAAAAAAAUCGGCACUUAUUUGAUUUUAAUCUCACCACUUUGCAAGCAUUUAAAUUGCCUUAAUCAGGUGGUUGGCUUCCAGCCUAGCUGGUAAUCUGUUAUCAAAUUUGAAACUAGAUUUUUUAAAAUGUCAGUGUAGGCUGAGAAUUGAAGUCUAUUAACAGUUAUGAGCCUCCCUCCUAAACUUCCAUAAUCUAUGUAUUAAUAAUACUUUUUACAAAGCUGUCAAAUAUUACUUUAUUACAACUCUACAUUAAUAAUAUAGAUGUAAAGGCAAGAUUUAAUUAUUUAUUUUUUAUUUUUAUUUUAAAAUUGAGGGAACACACAAUGCUAACAUUCCUAGCACUAAAAUCCAUUUUCUUAAAGCAAUAGCUUGAAUCUAUGGAAUAACCUUGAUAAAUGUAAUUGAAUUUUUCUAUGAUAAGAUUAACUAGUUGUAAUUGUGAAUGGGGAGGUCUGACCCACUCCAAAUGAGAUGUAUGACAAGCUGAAAAUAAUCAAUUUUUUUCUUUAUUUGAGCCCAGAUUUUUUAAAAUGGAAAGAGAAAAUCGGGGCCUUGUAGGAUGAAAUAUUUGUGUCUGAAAUGUUUUUAUAUACACCACUUAUCUCCCAUCUCCUCAGUGUGUCUAAUUGUGCUGAGCUUGGUUUAAAAUGAGAUCAACACAUUGAAACCCCAGAAGGCUUAAUUAAGGGAGGGACUUAAUAUGUACCAAAAAGGGUUUUUUUUUUUUGACAAAUGUGGCAUAAAUUUUACCUGUAACAUCCUUAUCUAAAAGCAUCCCAAAAUUGUUAAGCCCAUUAAAUUGCCUCUUUUUAAAAAAAAAAAAAAAAAAAAAAAAAAGGAGAGACAGAGAAGAGAAAAAGGAAGAAAAUAAUUUUACUUUGAAAAUCUUAAUUACUGUGAUAGCAGGGUUGGGUUGUGCCUUUUUACGAUUCCUGUAUGAUUUGCAUUUUGAGUUGAAGUUUUGUUCUUCACAGCACACAAGCCAGCAAUCAGGAGCAUAUAGAAAUGGCUUGAUAGAUUCCCCUUUUAAACAUGCUUAUAAAACAUUUUGCCUAUGUAGCUUUUUGUAUUACACAUUCCAUGGGGUUUCUCACAUACCAAUCAAGAAAGCAUAUCCCUUUUAAUUCAUUUUCUCAGAAGUUUAAAAGCUUAGAAAUAUAUAUUAAUGCAGAACAAAUAAAAUAUUUCAAAAAACUACAGCAGUAUUGUAAGGAGUUUCAUUUGAAAAGCAAAAAAUGCUGUCAUUAUUUUUAUUCUUCUUUCGUGGUCUUUAUCUGACCAUAGAAUUUGAGUGAGUAGAUCAGACUACAAUAGAGACUGCUCCAACAACUUGGAUUCCUAAUUCCCUUCCUGGUUCCUGACUAGGUUCAGAAAAAGACUCUUUCAGAAACAUCAAAUCUAGUGACAAUGAAAUUAAUCACAAUGUACAAAAGAAAAGCAGCUGGCAACCAAACACUGAAUAAAGCCAAGCGUGAAUUUAACUAGCUGUCAACCUCAAUGUAUAUAAUAUGUACACAUUAUGUACUUCUUUAUAUUCUUUAGCUAGGCACAAUCAGUAUUGAUGUAUUUUUAUUGUGUGUGUGUGUGUGUGUAUAUAUAUAUAUGGAUUUCCUAUAUUACCUCUGAAAGUUUUAAAAUUACUAUUAGUUAUUACUACUUUAGGGCUUAGUAACUGCUACUAAACACAAGUAGAAUAUCUUGCCUCUAGUUGAAGACGAGUCUCUUUAAAACUGGUCAUCACAGAUAUGCAGAUAAAUUCUAUAUCUGCUGGUUGGAACAUUUCACUUUUGAAGUAAGAUAAGUUUUAACAUAUGCCUUUGCCAAAAACUAACUCCAAGAAAUAAUUUAGGAAGAGCUAUAACGGAUGUUUUCUUCCUUCCACAUAGGAGCAUGCUCGGCACCAAAAAUAGAAAGAGAAUAUUUGAGCUUUAAGCUAAUGUCAUAGGAACUAAUGUACAUUGUAUAUGAGUAAUAAUUUCUUAAGGUCAACAUCAGUCAAUUCUUGUAUGAAAUUAUGUUCAAAUUCAUAGUUCUUCUGGUUCGUUGUGGCAUAGGGUGGUCUCUAGCUGAAACCGUUCAUUACUAUCUGCAUUAGUAAGGUCACUUGCUUGAUCUGGUUCUCUCACUUACCAACUUUGAUGCCUUGGGAAUGACUUGCAAUCCAAGCAGAUUUCUCACUGACCACUAUCUAAGUCAGUGUGUAUCAUAUGAUAUUUAAAUUAGUAGAAUACUUAGGACCAAAAGUAUUUCUUGGCAUACAGAUUUAGAGAAGUAAAAGCCACAGUCAAUUAUUUGUUCUUUUUUUUAAACCUGAAUUUCAGAACUAUUUUGAAAGGCAUAAAAAUAGAUUCUCUGUGAAAUUAGAAUACAAAAUGUUUGUUAAAAGUUUACACAGUCCAGGCCGGGAUUGGAAUUGCACUCAGUGUGUACUUUAAGGGAGUUACAGAACGCACCUAUGCAAACCAUUUUUUAAUUUCCAACCUUGUUAUCCUAUUAAAUCAAAUUUUAAAAACUUGACUUCUGUGAGCAUAGAGAACUUGAAAAUGAUACUUCGUUAUACAUACAGAGGUCAGGAAAAAUGGAAGUCCAAGUAGGAAAAACACUAGAUUCCAUUUCAUUUCAAGCACUCUUUGCUAAGCCCUCUCCUCAGUCCUGGAGGUGAAAAUAAUAAUAAAAUAUUGCCCUUGCAUUUAAAAGAUCAACAUUCUACUUGGGGGAAUAGAUAUGAGGACAGACAAGUUGGGAUAUAAUGCAGUAAGUGCCAUGAAAUAGUAUGAGCUCAGUCCUUUGAGACAACAAAUGAGGGAACUCUACUUUGCCUGGAAAAAUUGAGGCUAGUUUGAUGAAAUAGAUAAGUUAUUUCUCGAAUCAGAGAAAGUAGACAAUUAAUGAUAUUCUAUGAGUUAAAUGUGUUGCUUAUUUCAAAAGAAAAAUACAGAAAUAAGGCUAAAUGUAUAUGCCUCUACUUACAGAAUUGUGUAUAGGCAAUUCCUUUGUAACUAAUUAUAAUAGCAGAAACAAUAGCUAGCAUUUAUUACACACUUAUUAUGCACCAGGCAAUGUUCUAAAUGCUUGCAUGCAUUAUCUCUAUUGCUCCCCAUAACAAUCAUAGAUGCAUUAUUAUUAUUUGCAUUUUAUAGCUGAGGAACCCAAGGCACUGGCAGGGUAAAUGACUUGUUCAAGAUCAGGCCACAGAACUAGGAAGGAGCAGAGAGAAGAUAUGAACUGAAACAGUCUGUCUCUAGAGCCUGAUAUCAUAAGGUUUUUAUUUUCAAUAAAGUACUUCAUGAUGGACAAAUAUAAAACAUUCUAUUUUGAAUAAUAUUUUUUGUAAAAUUUUUCUUUGAUAUUUCAAAUGUUUAAAAGAGUGGCUUUCUGCCCAGAACCACUUCACUGUGUCCAUUACGAAGUUAGCUGGUUCUAAGCUCCAUAGCAAUAUAUUCUUGACAGCAAACAAGAACCUGGCUUACUUUAUUCCUCAGCUUUUGACAACCUUUAUUAUUUCAUUUAUCUGCUAUUCAUAGCGAGAUGUAAACAUCUUACUUCCCAGUGUGAUCCUCAUAUCAACAGUGGGUGAGUUUAAAAUAUUGGGAAUCAAUAUGUUAUAAAACAUCAGCCAGUACUAAAAAGGCAGACCCAGAGAAAAUUCAUUGAAUGUCAAAUAAAAAAUAAACAUCAACAGUUAAAAAUGUAAUAAGAUAAUAAAUAAAGGCAGGGAAUUAAAAAAAUUUCUUAACCCCAAAAGCAAUUUGACAAGUAAGAUAUACCUGUGUUAAACACAAAGCCACUUACAGUACAGGGAGCAAUGAAUUUUUCAUGCAGGUAAACAGAACAAUUCUUUUCUAAAUUUAAUAGACAGAAUACAUGACAUUAGUGCCAUUGAUAGUAGGGUUGGGGACUCAGAAAGAGAGAGAACACUACAGUCUCUGUGAAAACAUUAGUUAGCACAGGCUCUACAUAUUUUAUUGAUUUAUGUAGACACUUAAGACUAAACGUUUUUAGACUGAGGAUCUCCUUUUCAUCCCAGAUACGUAUGCAUAUAUUUCUCAUGUGCAGGUACUCAGCUCUGCUAUAUACUUCUAACUCUCAGGCCCUCUUAUCCCUCUCCUCCAAACUUGCACAAUCUGAUCCUACGGUCAGUCAGUCAGUCUGCAUUUGCCUGUGAGACAUCUUUUUAUUGACCUGUCAUUGAAUCCACACUUCUAUAGAAAGCCCUAUAAGAACUGAGAGAGAAGUAGGGCAUUGCAUUCCUUUUGGGAUGUUUAAAAUUUAAUGUGCAACAGCUAACAAUCAAAAAGAAACAAAUAAUAGUCUUGAAACUUGUUGCCUAGAUAAAAUAGAUAGGAAGACAAUCGUCUAGGAGGAGAUGUGAUUGGGGUCUUGCAGUCCUUUCAAUUCACCCAGUGAAAACAUGCACUACCUACCAUACUUUCACAAACACUGGAACUUAACAAAUAUUUUCUUCCUCCAUUGCUGUUGCUUUUAGGAGUGGCACAUAUCUCCAAAGAGCCACAGCCUUCCAGGUGGGCACCUCCUUUCCCCAGCUUCUCUUCCUUCUGACCGUCUGACUUGGAACCACAUGAGUAACUGACACAUCCUAUGGUCACAUGGACAGUGCCCUAUGAACAGCUCUCUGUUGACCAACAAAAAGAUGCUUCGUUUAUAGAUGGCAUUUUCAAGGUGGAAACACAGCAUCCUAUUUGGAAGACUGCUGCACUAAGACCAGCAUAUGAAAUGACUGAUUGAAGAAGGUGUCAGCAUCACUGCUCUGCUAUCCUUUAAGAGGCAGAUUUCCUGGUCGUACAUGGUCUUUAGUGAUUUGCAGGAAGAAUUUCAACUCACUUCACUGCCAGUUG